rnacentral:misc_RNA from 1 species
UUAAGUUCAGCGGGUAUCCCUACCUGAUCCGAGGUCAAACUUAGAGAGUUGGGGGUUGCUGGCUAGCGUCCACCAUGACUCAAUAGCGAAAGGGUCUUACUACGCUUAGAGCCAGGUCGCGCCGCCACUGAUUUUAAAGCCCACCGUGACGGCUGGGCUCAAGACCAAGCUGAGCUUGAGUGUUGUACUGACGCUCGAAC